rnacentral:rRNA from 1 species
GUGGGGAAUUUUGGACAAUGGGCGAAAGCCUGAUCCAGCAAUGCCGCGUGUGUGAAGAAGGCCUUCGGGUUGUAAAGCACUUUUGGCAGGGAAGAAACAGUGCGUGCUAAUACCAUGCGCGAAUGACGGUACCUGCAGAAUAAGCACCGGCUAACUACGUGCCAGCAACCGCGGUAAUACGUAGGGUGCAAGCGUUAAUCGGAAUUACUGGGCGUAAAGCGUGCGCAGGCGGCUUUGUAAGACGGAUGUGAAAGCCCCGGGCUCAACCUGGGAAGUGCAUUCGUGACUGCAAGGCUAGAGUGUGUCAGAGGGAGGUGGAAUUCCGCGUGUAGCAGUGAAAUGCGUAGAGAUGCGGAGGAACACCGAUGGCGAAGGCAGCCUCCUGUGAUAACACUGACGCUCAGGCACGAAAGCGUGGGGAGCAAACAGGAUUAGAAACCCCUGUAGUCC